rnacentral:rRNA from 1 species
UACGUAGGUGGCAAGCGUUGUCCGGAUUUACUGGGCGUAAAGAGCGCGCAGGCGGUCGUUCAAGUCGCGUGUGAAAGCCCCCGGCUCAACUGGGGAGGGUCACGCGAUACUGAUCGACUGGAAGGCAGGAGAGGGUAGUGGAAUUCCCGGUGUAGUGGUGAAAUGCGUAGAGAUCUGGAGGAAUACCGGUGGCGAAGGCGGCCCCCUGGACAAAGACUGACGCUCAGGUGCGAAAGCGUGGGGAGCAAACAGG